rnacentral:rRNA from 1 species
GACGAACGCUGGCGGCGUGCUUAACACAUGCAAGUCGAACGGAAAGGCCCUUCGGGGUACUCGAGUGGCGAACGGGUGAGUAACACGUGGGUGAUCUGCCCUGCACUUUGGGAUAAGCCUGGGAAACUGGGUCUAAUACCGAAUAUGAUCAUCGGCUUCAUGGUCGGUGGUGGAAAGCUUUUGCGGUGUGGGAUGGGCCCGCGGCCUAUCAGCUUGUUGGUGGGGUAAUGGCCUACCAAGGCGACGACGGGUAGCCGGCCUGAGAGGGUGACCGGCCACACUGGGACUGAGAUACGGCCCAGACUCCUACGGGAGGCAGCAGUGGGGAAUAUUGCACAAUGGGCGCAAGCCUGAUGCAGCGACGCCGCGUGAGGGAUGACGGCCUUCGGGUUGUAAUCCUCUUUCAGCACAGACGAAGCGCAAGUGACGGUAUGUGCAGAAGAAGGACCGGCCAACUACGUG